AGAAUCAACGCUGGCGGCGUGCCUAACACAUGCAAGUCGCACGAGAAAGGGACUUCGGUCCUGAGUAAAGUGGCGCACGGGUGAGUAACACGUGAAUCAUCUACCUCCGAAUGGGGAAUAACUGAGAGAAAUCUUAGCUAAUACCGCAUAAUACCUACGGGUCAAAGCAGCAAUGCGUUUGGAGAGGAGUUCGCGGUCGAUUAGUUAGUUGGCGGGGUAAUGGCCCACCAAGACGAUGAUCGAUAUCCGGCCUGAGAGGGCGCACGGACACACUGGAACUGAAACACGGUCCAGACUCCUACGGGAGGCAGCAGUGGGGAAUUUUGCGCAAUGGGGGAAACCCUGACGCAGCAACGCCGCGUGGAGGAUGAAAUAUCUUGGUAUGUAAACUCCCUUCGAUGGGGAAGAUAAUGACGGUACCCAUAGAAGAAGCCCCGGCUAACUACGUGCCAGCAGCCGC
rnacentral:rRNA from 1 species